AUGGCGGAGCGCGGCGGUUCUGAGCCCAGCCCGGGCUGCAGCAGUCUGGGCCGGGGCGGCGUUCUCGGCGCCGCCCACUCAUGGGCCCCGGAGGACGCCUGGAUGGGCACCCACCCAAAGUAUUUAGAAAUGAUGGAAUUAGAUAUAGGAGAUGCCAGCCAAGUUUGCAUAGCAUUCUUGGUUUACCUGGACCUCAUGGAGAGUAAAAGUUGGCAUGAAGUAAAUUGUGUUGGAUUACCAGAUCUCCAGCUCAUCUGCCUUGUCGGUACUGAGAUAGAAGGAGAAGGAUUACAGACUGUGGUGCCUACACUCACCAGUGCUUCCCUCAGCCCUAACAGGAUAAGGGAGAUCUGAAGGCAUCUCGAAAAUCGCAAGGUGACCCAGAUUUGCCAAUGUCUUUUACUUUGGCCAUAGUGGAGUCCGAUUCCACAAUAGUCUAUUAUAGACUUACUGAUGGAUUUAUGCUGCUGGACCCUCAGAAUAUUUCCCUUAGAAGAUGACAUCUAUACUUCCUGAUGCUUACUGUGAGAGUGGGUUCGAGAUCCGUCAGCCUGGUUCAUCUUUUAUCUCAGAGAUAGUUAGGGUUGACUUAGCUGGUCCUAUUCCAUAAGCUUUUCUUUUUGAAGAAUAAAACUUUCCCAGAUAGAAGAAUUUUUUUUGUUGAUAAGUAUAGGGUAGUUGCUCUAGAACUUUCUUACCUGGAGAUAGUUUAAUUACAGUUAAAUACAAGUUGAUGCUUAGGAUGUGUUCAGAGGGGUGGCCCACGUGUGUUUCUUCUGUCGUCCACCACUCAUAGCUGCCUCGUUGUUCAUCGCUGCCCCUGCUAACACAUUGUUGAGACUCCCCUUUCUCUAAUUCAACCCUCUCAGUGCCUUUUGGCUACUACAGCUAGCCUGCCGUGGCGUUUCAUGGACACCUGGACACUUGGAG